rnacentral:rRNA from 1 species
UAGUCCACGCAGUAAACGAUGAAUGUUAGUCGUCGGGGGCUCGUCCUUUCGGUGAUGCAGCUAACGCAUUAAACAUUCCGCCUGGGGAGUACGGUCGCAAGAUUAAAACUCAAAGGAAUAGACGGGGACCCGCACAAGUGGUGGAGCAUGUGGUUUAAUUCGAAGAUACGCGAAGAACCUUACCUGGCCUUGACAUAUUUUAGAAUACUUUAGAGAUAGAGUAGUGCCUUCGGGAGCUAAUAUACAGGUGCUGCACGGCUGUCGUCAGCUCGUGUCGUGAGAUGUUGGGUUAAGUCCCGCAACGAGCGCAACCCUCGUCACUAGUUACUAACGGUUCGGCCGAGGACUCUAGUGAGACUGCCUUCGCAAGGAGGAGGAAGGUGAGGACGACGUCAAGUCAUCAUGGCCCUUACGGCCAGGGCAACACACGUGCUACAAUGGUCAGGACAAAGAGUCGCCAACUUGCAAAAGUGAGCUAAUCUCGUAAACCUAAUCUCAGUUCGGAUCGC